rnacentral:other from 1 species
CAAGCUCUGUAUGGGUGUUAAUUUUGUUCCUACAUUUAUAUAAAUAGGGAGAGUUAACUCCAUGGCAUUGAAGUAUACCCGCCGAUUUUUAUCGCCAGCGGGAAACGGAUUAGUCAGGGUGCUCACCCACCUGCGAGCCAAAGCAGGUAACAAAAUCCGCCUAUACGGGGCUUUU